rnacentral:rRNA from 1 species
UAAAUUAUAAUAUUAGUUAAUGUUUAAAAAUUAUUAAAAAUUAUAAUUUAGAAGUGAAAUGUUAAUCGAUUUAAAAGAUAUCUAGUUUUUUUAAAAAUGAAUUUAAUUCAUUAUUUAAAUUAAAAUUAAAUUAAUUAAUUUUGUAAGAUUUAAUUAUUUAAAUGAAAUUAUUUUUGGGAUAAACUAAAAAUAAAUUUAAUAAAAAUUAAAUGAAUUGUUUAUAAAAAUAUUUAUAGUAAUAUAAAUUUUUAAUAAGUCUGUAAUAAUUUAUAAAAUAUUAAAAAAAUAAUUUUUAAUAUUUUUUUAAUUAAAAUUGAAUAUAAAAAAUAUAAAUAAUGAUAAUAAAUAUUUUAUAAUGAUAAUAUAAGUAAAUUUUUGAUGUUAAAAGUAUAAUAAAAUAUAAAUAGUUAUUAAAGAACUCGACAAAUAGUUUAUCCACCUGUUUAUCAAAAACAUGGUUUAUAGAAUUAUAAUUAUAAAUUUGUUCUGCCCAUUGAAUUUAUUUUAACGGCUGCAGUAUACUGACUGUACAAAGGUAGCAUAAUCAAUUGUUUUUUAAUUGAAAACUUGUAUGAAAGAAUUGAUGAGAUAAAGAUUGUUUCAAUAAUUUAAUAUGAAUUUAAAUUUUAAGUUAAAAUGCUUAAAUAUGUUUAUUAGACGAAAAGACCCUAUAGAAUUUUAUAAAAUUAAGAUAAAGUAAAUAUAAUGUAAAAUUAUUUAUUUUAUUUUUUUAUAUUUAGUUGGGAGGAUUAUAAAAUUUA